GCGUGCCAGUGAUGAUUCAUGCAAUCGGUGAAUUCUGGAUGAAUGUCCUGCUUGCACAGGCAUGGUGAUAUCCACUUCCAAAGCGUUUAUCUGAGGCACUC
rnacentral:snoRNA from 1 species